CGGCAAAAUAGAUCCGUAACUUCGGGAUAAGGAUUGGCUCUAAGGGUUAGGUGCAUUGGGCCUGGGUUGGAAGGGCUAGGACCCGGCUGGAACUGUUUUGGGCAACCGAGAUGGAUCUGGCUGGGACCCGGUUUGGAAGACCUAGGCUGCCUUCGGGCGUCCGGUGUACAUUUAAUAACCAACUUAGAACUGGUACGGACAAG
rnacentral:rRNA from 1 species